rnacentral:rRNA from 1 species
CAGCAGCCGCGGUAAUACGUAGGGUGCAAGCGUUAAUCGGAAUUACUGGGCGUAAAGCGUGCGUAGGCGGUUUGUUAAGUCUGUUGUGAAAUCCCCGGGCUCAACCUGGGAAUGGCAAUGGAUACUGGCAAGCUAGAGUGUGUCAGAGGAUGGUGGAAUUCCCGGUGUAGCGGUGAAAUGCGUAGAGAUCGGGAGGAACAUCAGUGGCGAAGGCAGCCCCCUGGGCCAAUACUGACGCUCAUGCACGAAAGCGUGGGGAGCAAACAGGAUUAGAUACCCCCGUAGUCCCUGUCUCUUAUAC